AUGCUGAUCUGGCAUGGGAAAUAUCAUGAUCAAGCAAAACGUUUUUUUCUGGGCAAGUCUCUCUAUAAAACUCUGGGUGUGCUGAACCCUGUGAUUUACCCAAAGGUGGGAAACUCAGUUGUGUAAUCUGAGGUAGAAGGUGACUACAGUCACAUUUUAU